rnacentral:rRNA from 1 species
AGCUCCAAGAGCGUAUAUUAAAGUUGUUGCAGUUAAAAAGCUCGUAGUUGGAUUUCUGGUCCAGCGCGCCUGGCCCGCUUCGGUGAGUGCCGGUGCACGUUGACCAUCCUUCUAGAGAACGUUUCUACCCGGGCAACUGGGCCGGACUCGCGAUCUAGAUCUUUUACUUUGAAAAAAUUAGAGUGUUUAAAGCAGGCUUUUGCUAUGAAUACAUUAGCAUGGAAUAAUAAUCUAGGACUUCGGUUCUAUUUUGUUGGUUUCUAGUACUGAAGUAAUGAUUGAUAGGGAUAGUUGGGGGUGCUAGUAUUGGCCGGCCAGAGGUGAAAUUCUUGGAUUCGGUCAAGACUAACUUAUGCGAAAGCAUUCACCAAGGAUGUCUUCU